CUACUGCCCCCUGCUGGGAGACCCGUGCAUCGUUUGGAAGAAGAAGGAAGCCCCGUGCAUUAACUUAUAUACGUCACAUCCGGGAAGAAAGUUCAGUCGAACGCAGAGCAGAUAAACGGAGAGACCAAAGACUUGCGUGUAACGUCCAGCAUCAAGAUGUUAAGGCCUGCAGAGAUGAAGCCGAUCCUUGCCCUGCUCAGACCUCCUGACUGACAUCUGGUGCUCAAGUACGACUGAGCUGAAAAGCAAGGCGUGUGCAGACCUCUCCAGCGAGGCCUAGCCUGCCGUGGCUCUGUUCUUUCCUGUAGUGUCUGCUAGAGAGAUGUGAGGCUGUUUGAGGCCCUGCUGUGACUCUACGCGGCGGGGUUAUAGGAGUGGAAGACUCAGCGCUGUGUUCGGAGGCGUUCGGCUGCUGAGUGCCAAAGUUGGUCAACUGCUUCCAGUUGGCCUUAAAGAGUUUACCAGUAACCAUGUGGCUCGAUGAUGGGGCUCCUCAUUGAAAGUGCCAACUUUAGGGUUUUCACCAAGAUGACAAGACUUUGACACAGAUUUUGUCAGAGAUGAACCAAUUCAUCUGCUGAAAGCAACAAAGGUCACAUUUUGCACAUCCCCAGUAAAGUUCUGUAAUAAGCAAGAGGAAAGAAUAUUUUGUGUCAAGAGUGUUAAGAUUUAUGUCGGUGGUAAAAUCAUAAAUAAUGUACAAGGUGUUGACGAGAAACUCUGAAAUAAACAUUCUAAACACA